UUCCGGUUGAUCCUGCCGGACCUGACUGCUAUCGGAUUGAUACUAAGCCAUGCGAGUCAUUGUAGCAAUACAAGGCAGACGGCUCAGUAACGCGUAGUCAACCUGCCCUAUGGACGGGAAUAANCUCGGGAAACUGAGUAUAAUGCCCGAUAGAACAUUAUACCUGGAAUGGUUUAUGUUCCAAAUGAUUUAUCGCCGUAGGAUGGGACUGCGGCCUAUCAGUUUGUUGGUGAGGUAAUGGCCCACCAAGACUAUUACAGGUACGGGCUCUGAGAGGAGUAGCCCGGAGAUGGGUACUGAGACACGGACCCAGGCCCUAUGGGGCGCAGCAGGCGAGAAAACUUUGCAAUGUGCGAAAGCACGACAAGGUUAAUCCGAGUGGUUUCUGCUAAAGGAACCUUUUGUUAGUCCUAGAAACACUAACGAAUAAGGGGUGGGCAAGUUCUGGUGUCAGCCGCCGCGGUAAAACCAGCACCUCAAGUGGUCAGGAUGAUUAUUGGGCCUAAAGCAUCCGUAGCCGGCUCUGUAAGUUUUCGGUUAAAUCUGUACGCUUAACGUACAGGCUGCCGGGAAUACUGCAGAGCUAGGGAGUGGGAGAGGUAGACGGUACUCGGGAGGAAGUGGUAAAAUGCUUUGAUCUCUCGAUGACCACCUGUGGCGAAGGCGGUCUACCAGAACACGUCCGACGGUGAGGGAUGAAAGCUGGGGGAGCAAACCGGAUUAGAUACCCGGGUAGUCCCAGCUGUAAACUAUGCAAACUCAGUGAUGCAUUGGCUUGUGGCCAAUGCAGUGUUGCAGGGAAGCCGUUAAGUUUGCCGCCUGGGAAGUACGUACGCAAGUAUGAAACUUAAAGGAAUUGGCGGGGGAGCACCACAAGGGGUGAAGCCUGCGGUUCNAUUGGAGUCAACGCCGGAA
rnacentral:rRNA from 1 species